rnacentral:lncRNA from 1 species
CACAAGAGAGACAAGGUCACUGGAGGAUAAACAUCCGUGACUGCGCCUCAUGAUCCAUCAUGCACGGCGGCCGCAGCGUCCCCUGCCAGCUGCCGGCACAGACAAGAGCACGGGAUGGACGACCGCGGUAGCAACGUGGGGCUCAUCUGCCUCUCUCUGAGCAGGAAGCCCCUCAGGCUCACACGGGGAGCCACCAGGCUGGACUGGGUGCAGCUUACAGACGUGGCACGUGCUGUGGGCGUCGGGCCGCGGCUCCUCCAUGCAGUACUUACACUGCUGUCUGCAGAUCGCACCCAAUCAGAAGGGAAUGGUCCAGACAGGUGGCCAGGGCCACGGCUUGGCCAGGGUGGUCCUGCGGGCAGUACUGAGCCCGCCCUGCUGGGCACCCCACAGCCCCUGUGGCUCUCCAGCUGCCACUGAGGCCGGACGCCCCAUGAGGAGGCUCCCAUCUGUGGGUGGCAGAAUGACGGCCCUGAAGACCCCCGCUUCCUCACCCGAAGACCCCCCGCUUCCUCACCCGAAGACCCCCCGCUUCCUCACCCAAAGACCCCCCGCUUCCUUACCCAAAGACCCCGGCUUCCUCACCCUGGGACCUGUGAGUUCACACAGCAGCGGGGACCUGCGACUGUGGACGGCGCAUCAGCUCCCUCAACAGGGAGGCUGCCCUGGGUGACCCGUGAGGGCACAGGGUACCUCCGUCCUGCUGAGUGGAAGAGGGAGGCCGUGGCGGAGGCGGGCGUGAGGGGGACUGGCCCGCCACUGCUGGCUUCGUGAGGGGCCCCCAGCCAAGGAGAAGCCUCCCGAAGCCGGAAGAGGCGGAAAAUGGAUUCUCCCAGGAGCCUCUAGAAGGAACCUUGGUGUUGGUGGAAUGGGAUGUGAGAGGACACGCGGGUGACCUGUCUUGGGUCAUGCCAGUUCCCGGUCCCCGCACCAGCCCGCCCUGGGCGGGAAGCCUAAGAGGAAUGGAGGGGCCAUCGCGGGGCUCUCCCGGAAACUGGCCCCGGGUGCCUCGGUCCCUGCAUCAGUGCAGGGUUUCAGUGGCCGCCCUGCUGGCUCCGGGCGCUCCCUCCGUCUUCCUGCCACGUGGCUGGUCCUUCCUGGGCUGGGCUGAGUCACCCUCCAUGCCCACCCGUCAUACCCGGCAAGAGCUGGGGGCAUGAAGCCAGGCCCAGGUGGGCUGUGGCGGCAUCCAGGUGGAAGGACGUGGAGGACUCGGAGGUGGAGGGGUCUCCAGGGCAGGGCAGGGCAGGGCCGGUUGCCGGGGGCCAUCUGCUGUGUCCAGGUGCCCGGCGCUGCCACUGGCCUUGCCCCAAGGCCCAGCUCUGCCCUUCAUCCCCUCAGCACCUCCCCGUACCUUCCUUCCAUGAGUCUUAAGCUGUGGCAAGUCCUUAAGCUGGGACGGCCAGCGCCAGCCCUGCCCCCAACAGGUCACUCGGCGGCUCGGAGCCCAUGUCCUCCUCGGUGACACAGGAAAAUGGUGCAGUUGUGCAAGGGCAUGAGAGGGUCCCAUGGAAGGCACGUUCCGGAAGGUUCCAUCCCAUGGAAGCCACGUUCCGGAAGUUUCCAUGCUGUGGAAGGCAUGUUCCGGAAGUUUCCGUCCCGUGGAAGGCACGUUCUGGAAGGUUCUGUCCGGUGGAAGGUCACUCUGUGCGGUGUGCACUGACCCCAGCCAGUGGAUGUUCCCCGUCCAAGAGCAAAGCUACAGUAGGCUGCAGGUGCAGCGUCUUUUGCACAGUGGAAGAAUUUCUCCAGAAGAUAUUCCUGCAGGUGGAAUCACUGGAUCGUAGGCCCAGAUGUCUUCCACUUACUUGAUUUUGCCUGAUGCCUUCCAAGGAGGCUGUGCACAGCAGGUGUGAGAUGCCCCAUCUCACCAACCGGCCAACAUCCCAAUGGGAGAUGUUGAGUUUUCACCACGGUGCUGAGUGUGACGUGGAAUCUUCUUAUUUUAGCUUGCAUUUCCCUGAUUACAAGUUAGGUGGAACAUCUCGAAUAUGUUUCUGGGCCAUUUGAUUUUCCUGCAAGACACCUGUUCCAGUUCUUUGCCCAUUUCCUGUUGGGCUGGUCAAUAUUUUUUGCGAUUAUACGUUGGAUACGUGGCUGGCCUUUGGCUUGCCUUUGACUUCAUUUGUUCUAUCGAAGCAUGUGCAGAAUUGUUAAAUUUUAAUGUAUUCAAAUGCAUUAAUCUCAUUUCUU